rnacentral:tRNA from 5 species
GGGGCCUUAGCUCAGUUGGUAGAGCGCUGCCUUUGCAAGGCAGAUGUCAGGAGUUCGAAUCUCCUAGGCUCCACCG